CCUACGGGCGGCAGCAGUGGGGAAUCUUGCGCAAUGGGCGAAAGCCUGACGCAGCAACGCCGCGUGGGUGAUGAAGGUCUUCGGAUCGUAAACCUCUGUCAGCAGGGAAGAACGGUCACUGUGCUAAUCAGCAGUGACUUGACGGUACCUGCAAAGGAAGCACCGGCUAACUCCGUGCCAGCAGCCGCGGUAAUACGGAGGGGGCGAGCGUUAAUCGGAAUUACUGGGCGUAAAGCGCUCGUAGGCGGUAUGUCAAGUCAAGGGUGAAAUCCCCGCGCUCAACGUGGGUACUGCCUUUGAAACUGGGAAACUGGAGUGUGUGAGAGGAGAGUGGAACUCCAGGUGUAGGAGUGAAAUCCGUAGAUAUAUGGAGGAACACCAGUGGCGAAGGCGACUAUCUGGCAUAUAACUGACGCUGAGGAGCGAAAGCGUGGGUAGCAAACAGGAUUAGAUACCCUAGUAGUC
rnacentral:rRNA from 1 species